AGCUCUGGGGUGUUAUCAUAUUAGAUUGCAAAUCUAAAGAAGCAGAUUAAAAUCUGCCGGGGCUU
rnacentral:tRNA from 1 species